CACAUUGGUUUGGGUGACCCUGUGGUUAAUAAGUGUUGUCCUGUUCUUGCCGGAUUAGCCGAGCUAGAGGCUGCAGUUUGCCUGUGCACAACUUUAAAGGUUAAGCUUUUGAACCUCAACGUUUAUCUACCACUCGCUCUUCAACUGCUAGUUACUUGUGGCAAGACCCCUCCUCCUGGUUACACUUGUCCUCUCUAAAUUUACAAGCUCCCUACUCAGGUAACUUUAUAUGUAUAGUGCUGUGUAACUAGUUGAUGGAUAACAGGACGAACACUUCUUGGGAGGACGUGAAUUGUUAAUUUGGAGUUGCUUAUGGAAAUUUCGAUUUUAAUUUUUGAACGAACUAUGCUUAUUGUUUCUUCGUGUGUUUAACUUUUCAAAUGAUUAUGUAAAAUAUACCAACAUUCAACGAAUAAGGGAUAUUCAUUACUUAAUGAUUGUUUUUUUAAUGGCAAAUUUCUCU
rnacentral:lncRNA from 1 species